rnacentral:rRNA from 1 species
GAUGAACGCUGGCGGCGUGCCUAAUACAUGCAAGUCGAGCGAACAGACGAGGAGCUUGCUCCUCUGACGUUAGCGGCGGACGGGUGAGUAACACGUGGAUAACCUACCUUUAAGACUGGGAUAACUUCGGGAAACCGGUGCUAAUACCGCAUAAUAUAUUUAAACGCAUGGUUCAAUAGUGAAAGACGGUUUUGCUUUCACUUAUACUUGGAUCCGCGCCUCAUUAGUGACUUGGUAAGGUAACGGUUUACCAAGGCAACGUUGCUAAGCCACCCUGACAGGGGGUCGGGACAAACUGGAAGUGCAAAACGGGCAAGAUUCCUAGGGGAGGCAGAAGAGGGGACUGUUCGGCAAUGGGCGAAAGCUGGACGGAGCAAGGCCGAGUGAGUGAUGAAGGUCUUCGAAUCGAAAAACUCUGUUAUAGGGGAGGAAGAAAGGUGUAGGUAAAUAUGCACGUAUUGACGGUACCUAAUCAGAAAGCCACGGCUAACUACGUG